AUCGUGGUUGUGAAUGGAUUGUUAGAACCCUCUAGUAAAUGUUCAGGUGUGAUAACAAAGGUGUUCAAGCAAAAGGUGGACACUAAUGGCUACAUAUGGAAAACAAUUUCACAAGCUACAAAAGAUUUUUAUUUUGAGGAGUUUAGGAAGCAUUGUGUGUGGGAUUUUUCAAUGGAGGCUCAAGUGAAAGCUUCACAACGAUACAAGUUGUUUUU